rnacentral:lncRNA from 1 species
GACAUUCUUUUUGUGUACCUAGCUGGCUCAAUGUCACCAUAGCAAAUAAUGGCAAAAAUACAAAAAAAAUUAAAAUAUUAUUAACUUAAUAAAAUCAUCCACUACAUAAUCAUUCAUUAUCUUUACAAUUAAUCAUCUAAAACUACCACAGUUCUUCAAUCAAAGUAUAUAUCUACAUAUAUAGAGAGAGUACACUUCAUAAUUUCGUCCCUUGUCUUCCGUAAACGUAGCACGGAAAUUUGAUACCCAGUAUUGCAAGGCAGAUCGUAGAAGCAGUCUUCCUGCACAUAUUUAAAAAUAAUAGCAAGUCAGGAAAAUGAAACAAAUAGGUCACCAAAAGCACUUUUUCUUAGGCAACUCAAGAAAAUUACAAUCACAGUUAUUUGGGGACAACACAUUUUAAAAAUGAAAAAUAAAAAGAGGUUCUUAUAUCAGUAAAUGCAACUGGCCCCUUUAUUCAAAGAAAACAUAAUAUGAGUAUAAUAACUAAAAUGCACUGAUUAAUAUCAUGUUCUGACCUCAUUAACGCAAAACCUUGACACAUAAUCUCAUAUCUCUAAUAAAGCUAAAAUAGUUUGAUACUUUGUUCAAAUGAAGUGUCUGGUUGUUUCUAAUUCUGUUAGCGGCUAUAAAUUUCACGGUAAUAAUGAAAUGAAAAAUCUACUUUAAAUUUAGGACUUCUCAUUUUCAGACAAUGGGAAUUCAUGAUUUGACAUAUUGUCAGCAUUUGAUAUAUUCACAUAUAAACUGGUAUAUAGCCAUAACCAAGUUCAUCAUUGUAAUACAGUCAAUCAGUGUCGGUUUAUCAAAUAAAUUGGAUAAAAAUUGAAAUCGAUUAAUAAACAACAAUAUUACACUCACCCUUGUUAAGAGGGAAAACAAAACACCCAGUUAAGAAAUGUCAAGAACCAUAACCAGAUUCAUAUUUGUAUCACUGUAAUAUGUGCUACCAUGCAGACAAUAAAAAUAAUAAUCUAGGCAUACAUAUAUCAUUUAAACAGUAAGUGUAGCAACUAACAAAUCAACAAAAAAAAUAACGAAAAGUUUUUAACAAAAAGAGACAAUCACAACCUUAUACAUAUAACCAUCAAGUUGACAGUUCCAAAAAUGCAUUUAAAACUGCAAAAUCUAAAUAAAAAGGCAUUAAUGAUGUUUAUUGCACAGUUAGCGUUCAAAUAUAGCCUCACAAACAAGCUGGUUAAAUUGGCACAGAUAAUCGACUUGGAUUAUUCCAUUGCACAUAUUUGUUUGAAAAGAAGCAAAGCAUGGUGCGUGUUCAAUACUUUACAAUUAAUUUCAUCAAUAGACAUAGUCUUUGCCAAGUUUAAUUGGAGGGAAGAACAACCUAUUCCCCUCCACCAAAAAUAAACUCCACUGAAUUCAAGCCCAGAAACUGAAUUUGAUACAAGAAAAGAGAAACAUUAAUAUCAUUUUAUGGGAUUUUAAAAUUACUACUAAGAAAGACAAAGAGUACUAAUAAUAAUAAUAAUAAUAAUAAUAAUAAUAAUAAUAAUAACUUCAAAAGAGUUGGCAGAAAUAAAACCUAGCUUCGGCCCUUAUUUUCUCUUUAGAAAUAGAAAACAAGUCCUGAAAAGGUAAGUUUUCAAUCAUACUCUCAAGCGGUCUCGCUCUGAGGAUUGACAUAGGCUAAAAACAAACCAGAUAGGAGAUAACUUAACUAUUGUUAAUGUGCAUAAGAUAAUCAUCACUAUUAAAAAUAUUUGAAAGCACAAACAAAAAUAAAUGGUGUAUUAAUAUUAUAGCCACUAGGAAUACAGAUCUAGUAGAGUGAAGACAUAAAAAAGGAAAAAAAUAUGCUUCAACAAGAAUAAGUCUAGAUCUCAGAUAUAUGGAAGUCGAAAAACAGGAUUUCAUACAUUUAAACAACAAAUCACAACAUUAACAUAAAUCUUCACAAAAUCCUGCAAAUAUUCUAUUAAGCAAAUUAUUUGUUAACAUAAAGAUAAGUAAAAGGGUAUUUUAGUAAUUUCGCACAAACAUUUAGCAAAUAACUUUAACAAGUAAAGACUGCACAAUAUCCUGCAAAGAUUCUAUUAAGGGACAGAUUACAAAAUCUAUUAGCUACAAUAUGGUAUUUCAGUAUAGUGGAUUAACCUCUUUACUACCCGUGGACAUAGUCCAAAAGCAAACCACAUAAUUCUUGUGUUCUUAUCUGUUAUGUUUUCCGUUUUCAUUGUUUGUUUAGGGUAAUAAUUGUGUUUUUUAUAACAAUAAUCUGUGGGUAACAAAACAAACAAAAAGGUAAUGUAGAUGGUGUUGAGCAGUAAAGAGCAAGAACUUAUUGCAAACAAUAUUUGUUUAAGUUUGAAUAUAUGCUCUGAUAAUGUAAUUUUUGUCCAUGUAUUACCAAAAAGUCCAUUUGAUUCCCAUGUGAUUAUGUAGCUAUUAUUGAACUUUAUGUGGUUAAGCCGCGUAGCUUUCAAGCAAGGUAGAUAGAUAAGGUAGUAUUUCGUACCUCUCCAAAAGCAGUAUUGAAUUCCCUCUGUUGGCAGGCCUAACAUACAUCGCGAUUCAUGUUGAGUCAGUUUUCCAAAUCACUACUCUAGUUCAAAAUUCAAAAGAAAUAAGUCAAUUAUGAACGAAUUAUAUUUCCUUCUACCUUUAAAAAUUGAUUUUACAAAGUACACUGCAGAUUUAAUUCCAUUACUCGCCGCUGCAGCUUCCAAGUUUGUGGUUAGAUUUGAAUGUAGUGUCUGCAUCACAAAUAUCAGAUCAUUAUAUGUAGCCAAUUGAUAAGUAUCAAUCACCGAUAAACAUCAAGAAAUGGUUGAUCUGUAAUCACCAACAAUUACUUCAAUUAAAAAUGACAAUUUUUCAGCCUCUAUGUUGGUACACCUCCACAGGGUCACAAGAGAACACAAAAUUAGGUCCUUAAUCCAAAUUAAUAGUAUCUUCAGUCAUUAAAAUAAAUAAAUAAGAAAACACUUAAGUCACAAUUACUUGGACCGAGUAUUUUCUAAAUAGAAGUCUGUAUAUCAGUAGCUACCUUGUUUUUCCUCUUUGCCUAUGUUUAAGUCAGAGAAGAAUCGAGACAAGACUGAGCACUACCAUGUGGAUGAUUGUACAAGAUCAAACUGAUAUCUAAUGACAGCAACGAUACUUCAGUACCACAAAAAAAAAUACAAAAAAAUAAUAUGCUUCCUAUAUGUAUAUGACCAACAAAUUAGUCAAGUACCAUUGUUGAAAUUGUAACAGCUAUCUGCCAAACGAUAUGCUUACAAUUGAAGAAAACCCUCCAUAUCAGCACUCUAAAAUACCAAGCUAAAAAUGAAAAGAACUAUAAAACAAAAGAAAAGAUAAACACACACCCAUUAUACAAAGAAGAUUUUUUAGGUACUAACAUUAAAAUGGCAUUUCCUUACAGCUGGGUACAACCUACCCUUUCCAAUUUUAUGGCGCGCCGUCUAGAUAGGAACUAAUCUAUAGUAUUUUCUUAUCUUUCUUAUUGAAUACCCUGCUUUGAAUAUUAAAGUUGGGCCGGGCUAGCAAAUGGAAGUCUGGGAGAUUGGGUAUAGUCCAUUAAGCUUUUCUAGUUCAUUCCAAAGAAAAAGGAAAUAUACCUGAAAAGAUUACAGAGAAGGAAACAACUUUAAUUCCGAGGUCAUCUUUUGGAAGAAGUUGUUGAUAAUUUACUUGUUAUUGUCAAAGCCAAAAUAAAAUGUCAUAGUAACUAUAUAUUUAACGAUAUUUUUUAUAGUUUUUUUAAUAAUAUUUACUAAUAUUUUAAGCUACACGUGUUACUCUGACAACAUUAGUAACUUUUUUCGUAUUAUAAGAGCAUGUAUUUAGCAACACUUUUAAACUUAUUUAAACUUUUGGAAUGGAUGGAGUACUAGAAUUUUUUAUUUUAUUUUUUGUUAAGAAUCAAGUGGGUCUUAUAUAUAGAGCCCACUAGGUCCUUUCUUCUUCAUCUGUCCUAUAUCAUUCCCACAAUACCAUUCCAAGAUAUAAUAGGCAUGAUAUUAAUAUGCAAGCUACAAGAAAUAAGGACAUACCACCAAGAUUUAUGUGCCCAUUUUGUCUAAUCUGGCACUCCAUUUAAUGUUUUCUAGUGUGAGGUAGUAAUUGCAAACACCACUUUGCCUUCAUUAGAUUAUCUUAGAAUUUCUGAUUCCACCUUUUAAUAUAAUUAAUUAAUGUGUUUGGGUGUCCUACUAAAGUGCAAUAAUACUACUAUUGUACUACUAAUGUUUUGCUGCAAUUGAGAUGAGCACAAAUAUCACAUGGUCAAACCACUUUCGCAAGUGCAUAAAUGUCACAUGGUCCAAGUUUAAUCCGACCCCUUACAAAAUAUAUUCCCUCCCUCAUAAAUUAUAUUGAGAGUUUUAUUUUAAAAAAUCUUUUGCAAAAAAGUAAUGAACUUCCCAAAAAAAAUCUCCUAAAUAAAUCCAAAUGCGAAUGGCUUCUGCCUGCCUAAAGACUACUCAUGUAACAACUGCUUCAAGAUGGGGAACCACAUCUCUAACCCCUAUCUCAAACUCAAACUUUUCACUACUUUCAAGAAUUUCUUUUAUGCAAUCUCUGUCUGCCAACAAGCAUAUGUUAUAACUAAUGCAUACCAAAGAUCCUGUGGAUGAAGAAACUCCAGAGCAAUGACCAUUAUUUAUAGACAAUACUAUAUCUUCUGGCAUAACAUUUAGUUGACUCAAGCAGUCAGAAUCUAGCAAUCUGCUAGCACGAGUUCUAGUACUCUGCCUAUGAUCAUGAACUGAUGGGCAUAACACAAACUCCGUGGAGAAGUAUUGGGGAUAAAUCUGGAUAACAAGUUCAUCUCCAUACACAGUCAAGUUCUCAAUUGACAAAUCUAGUUUUUUAAAAAAUGUGUUCAACCAUGAUAGAAUUUUCAAGGCAGCAUCCUGGAUGGCAUCAUUCUGCUUCUUAAAGGAUUCUUAGAACAACUAAAAGUGCCUCAAAUUAUGUGGAACUCUUCUCCUCUUCUACUCUUUAUGGUUGAUUUAAUUAUGUAAAUUAUUGAAUUAUCUUAUAAUUCAUGUAUGCUUACUAUUUUACCAAAAUCACCACUCAAUUCUCAUGUUUUAGCAAAAUAGCCUCAUUUAGGAAUUUUAACAAACAUGUGAUAUACAUGUUUAUAAAGCUCAGAUUUCAUGUAAAUUCAAACAUGUGAACAUCCAAACUCUAUAAAAUCCCUCCUUAUAUCUUCAGAAUCCAUCAAUACAACCUCCCACAAUAACAAUUCAUAAUAAUAACAAUCAUUAAUUAUCAAAUUUCUAUAAACUAAGCAAGAGAACAUAUCAUACCUCUUAUUUGGUAUUAUAACCAAAUCUUUACUUUCAAACUCGGAAGCCCUUCAAAGUCAGAAGCAUCCUAGCAAAACCUAACAUUUGCAUCCAAAACAUCAGAUUCCGCCAUCCCAACCAUAGAUUUGCCCAAACCAUUAAGGGGAAUAGUCGAAUCCGAGGGGUUAGAAAACCCAAUAAAUGGCAUACCAAACAGAGGAACAGAAGACUAGGGUAACCCUCUGAGAGGAGAGAGGGGCUCACCAUAUGAACUGAGAUCAGACUCAGAAGAAAGAAAAAAAUGAAAACGAUGGAUGAUUGUGACGCCCCAAAUUCAGACACCUAAUUCUAACAUCAAACUAAAAUCAUCGACAACGAAAAUAAUAUAAUAAUUUACAUUCAUAUAAUAUAAAUAUUCGCGUCGGAAGGUUCCUUAACCAUUACUACAAUAAUCCAUUACUACAAUAAUCCAGUGAUUAAACUUAAACAUAAUUAAUCAUCCUUAAUAAAUC